AUUGAACGCUGGCGGAAUGCUUUACACAUGCAAGUCGAACGGCAGCACGGGAGCAGCCCUGGUGGCGAGUGGCGAACGGGUGAGUAAUACAUCGGAACGUGCCCGGUCGUGGGGGAUAACGUAGCGAAAGUUACGCUAAUACCGCAUACGAUCUGAGGAUGAAAGCGGGGGACCUUCGGGCCUCGCGCGAUCGGAGCGGCCGAUGUCAGAUUAGGUAGUUGGUGGGGUAAAGGCCUACCAAGCCGACGAUCUGUAGCUGGUCUGAGAGGACGACCAGCCACACUGGGACUGAGACACGGCCCAGACUCCUACGGGAGGCAGCAGUGGGGAAUUUUGGACAAUGGGCGCAAGCCUGAUCCAGCCAUUCCGCGUGCAGGACGAAGGCCUUCGGGUUGUAAACUGCUUUUGUACGGAACGAAAAGGCUCUGGCUAAUACCUGGGGCUCAUGACGGUACCGUAAGAAUAAGCACCGGCUAACUACGUG
rnacentral:rRNA from 1 species